rnacentral:lncRNA from 1 species
AUGUUCCAUGUAAGCUCGAAGGUUCAGGCUCAUAGUUCCUAUGGCUUUUAUUUACCUCUAAAACUCCAGUCUUUGAAUGGCUUGAAAUAAUUGGAAGUGUCUUAAGCUGAUUUUGAAUCUAUUAAUCACUUUGCCUAUUAUUUUUUAUGUCUACGAUUGAGAAUUCCAACCCCCAGUAGGAAGAAUGAGGUAUCAAAGAGAGAAAUGGGAUUUUCAGUAAAGGGUGGUUGCCCUCUCUUAUUUGAUUUUGUCUUGCUUGUGUUUCUAAUUUUAUCUUUGUUUCUUAAUGCAGCUUUCCCAUUUUUACUCUACUCGCCGAGGGUCGAUUGGAAGCAGCCUCUCUGCCCUUUCGGGCAGGGGUAAGGCUCGUCUACAUANNNNNNNNNNNNNNNNNNNNNNNNNNNNNNNNNNUUUCGGGCAGGGGUAAGGCUCGUCUACAUAUUACCCUCCCCAGACCCCACCUGGUGGGAGUAUACUGGGUAGUUGUUGUUGUUGUUGUUGUUGUUGAGAAUACUCUACCAACUGAUAAGAUUGUGUUUCCUGGAUGCCAAGACUAACUACUAAGCUCCUUCAUAUUUUCCUAAGAAAAAAGUGCAGAAAGAUGGCAUUAAUAUAGUUUGAUGUUUGAUCAGGUCAGUUUUAGGCUGCGACAAAUUGCAAAUUUAUAAAUAGUGCAGUAUAUCUGAUUCAAAAUUUCAUUUAUUAGUACCCUCUUGAUGUCAUUGAGCAUUAGGAGGCAAAAACGGAUCUGGGAUUUAAACGUGAUUGGUUCAACCUUUGAAGUUUUUAACACUGAAUUUAUUGUGCAUUUGAAACUAUGUGUAGCAAAACUCCUAAACAGGCUUCACAUCCAUCCUUUCCCCUUUUUUAUUUAGUUUGUCUGGCAAUGGGUGCAGGGAUGUUUCCCGGGGGGAGGGAGAUGUUAGCAUGGUUAGACCUUUGUGUUUAGAUUAAGAGCGGACCUUACUGAAUUGCUUAUUCAUGUUUCAUUUCUAAAACAAAAAUAAAUGACUUUAGUAAUGGAGUAUGUCUUUUGUAUAUCUAUACC